UCCAAAUCCUGGCUCCACGGCUGCCCGACUGCGAAGCUUUGGGCAAGACUUAGGGUCUGCCUGAGCCCCCGGGUUCCGUCUGAAAAUUAAGAAGAGUUUAUUUCCAUUUCCCUGAGUUUCAGUAUUACGGGAGAAAAAUAGGGGAAUGGCAUGCACCUUCUGAGCUUCAGCGCCUCUGAUUGCAAAUGGGACCGGGAAGGCUGGGGCCCGGCGUGAAAGAGGCCCGCGCUGAGCCGACCUCCGUCCCCGCCCCCUCCCCAGGUCAACAACCUCAUCUGGCACGUGAGGUGCCUCGAGUGCUCCGUGUGUCGCACGUCGCUGAGGCAGCAGAACAGCUGUUACAUCAAGAACAAGGAGAUCUUCUGCAAGAUGGACUACUUCAGCCGAUUCGGGACCAAGUGCGCCCGGUGCGGCCGACAGAUCUACGCCAGCGACUGGGUGCGGAGAGCUCGCGGCAACGCCUACCACCUGGCCUGCUUCGCCUGCUUCUCGUGCAAGCGCCAGCUGUCCACUGGUGAGGAGUUCGGCCUGGUCGAGGAGAAGGUGCUUUGCCGCAUCCACUACGACACCAUGAUUGAGAACCUCAAGA
rnacentral:sRNA from 1 species